UACGUAGGGGGCGAGCGUUGUCCGGAUUUACUGGGCGUAAAGCGCGUGUAGGCGGCUGCUUAAGUCGGGUGUGAAAGCCCGGGGCUCAACCCCGGGAUGCCGCCCGAGACUGGGCGGCUUGAGGUCGGAAGAGGGGAGUGGAAUUUACGGUGUAGCAGUGAAAUGCGUAGAUAUCAAGUGGAACACCAGUGGCGAAGGCGAGUCCCUGGACGACUCCUGACACUGAGGCACGAAAGCUAGGGGAGCAAACAGG
rnacentral:rRNA from 1 species